GUGCUCACUUCAGCGGCACAUAUGCUAAGAUUGGAAUGAUGCAGAGAUUAGCAUGCCCCUGCACAAAGAUGAUAUGCAAAUUUGUGAAGCAUUAUAAAAUAAU
ensembl:snRNA U6 U6 spliceosomal RNA